CGUCAGCUCGUGCCGUGAGGUGUCAGGUUAAGUCCUAUAACGAGCGCAACCCUUACUUUCAGUUGCCAGCACGUAAUGGUGGGGACUCUGGAGGAACUGCCUACGCAAGUAGUGAGGAAGGUGGGGAUGACGUCAAAUCAGCACGGCCCUUAUGUUCGGGGCUACACACGUGCUACAAUGGUCGAUACAGAGGGCAGCUACUUGGCAACAAGAUGCGAAUCUCAAAAGUCGAUCUCAGUUCGGAUCGGAGGCUGUAACUCGCCUCC
rnacentral:rRNA from 1 species